rnacentral:rRNA from 1 species
CAGUCGAACGAUCCCUUCGGGGAUAGUGGCAGACGGGUGAGUAACGCGUGGGAAUCUACCCCAAGGUACGGGAUAACAGUUGGAAACGACUGCUAAUACCGUAUGUGUCCUCCGGGACAAAGAUUUAUCGCCUUGGGACGAGCCCGCGUUGGAUUAGCUAGUUGGUGGGGUAAUGGCCUACCAAGGCGACGAUCCAUAGCUGGUCUGAGAGGAUGAUCAGCCACAUUGGGACUGAGACACGGCCCAAACUCCUACGGGAGGCAGCAGUGGGGAAUAUUGGACAAUGGGGGAAACCCUGAUCCAGCCAUGCCGCGUGAGUGAUGAAGGCCCUAGGGUUGUAAAGCUCUUUCGCCGGUGAAGAUAAUGACGGUAACCGGUAAAGAAGCCCCGGCUAACUUCGUGCCAGCCGC